UACGUAGGGGGCAAGCGUUGUCCGGAUUUAUUGGGCGUAAAGAGCUCGUAGGUGGUUCGGUAAGUCGGAUGUGAAAUCUCCAGGCUCAACUUGGAGCGGUCAUUCGAUACUGCCGUGACUAGAGGUCGGUAGGGGAGUGUGGAAUUCCUGGUGGAGCGGUGAAAUGCGCAGAUAUCAGGAGGAACACCCGUAGCGAAGGCGGCACUCUGGGCCGAUACUGACACUGAGGAGCGAAAGCGUGGGGAGCGAACAGG
rnacentral:rRNA from 1 species